UGAAUACCUGAAAGGCAAGAAGACAUUAUGGAUUGCUAGAAUUGCACUGGUGGAGACCAUCACUUUGUCCCUUUGAAAAAUUUCUUUUACAUAAAUGAGUGAAAUUCAGUUUGGGAGACUUGGGUGGGACCCCUUCAAAGGAGAUUAUUUGAACAGUUAUUUCCAAGGCACUGACAAAAUGGAUUAUCAUUUACACAGAAACAUUCAGACACCGAUCAAGCACAAAUAUUUGGCAUUUAAGAAGUCUUGGGAGGGAAAUUUAAAGGAACUGGCAUUAGCUGGUGAAAGCUAAUUUCAUUUCAAGUAAAUUGGGAUUAAUUAUUUUUAAAAGUGAUGGGUAGGGAGCAAAACAAACUGUGCUUCUCCUUUUUUCCAUUCUUUAAAUUUUGGUGUUGUUUCCUUGGCCUACCCUCCUUUCCUGCAAUAUCACCAUUUCAUUAUGCAGAUUAAGGUAAACUGAAUAAGCAAACUCUUAAAGAAUAGUUUAGCAGAAAUUAUAUUCUGUAUUUGCUUUAGAGAUGUUAUCUACUAUGUGUGCUGUUAAAUGAAGCCCUUCAAAAACAUUUCUUUUAGAGUUAAGCGGUAAGAGUUAAGUGUUUCUCUUGGAACCAUAGUGUAUUUUCUCCUCUUGGAUACAGAAUACCAUGAAACUAUAUUUUGCCUUUCACUUUGCCACCAAAAAGCUCAAAAACAGAUUCUCUGCUUAACUGCAGUGACUUAGUAAGAUCUUGUAGACUACAUAUGGACAUCCUAUUUUUUCAUUCUUCUCUUUGACUUCAUAUUUUAAUGCAUAUUUUCCCUAGUUUGGUGUUUUAUUUCUAUUUUCUUUUAUUAUAGAUUAUAUAUAAUACAUGAUAUUUUACAUUUAUAUAUAAUUUAUUAAACAUUAUAUGAUAUAUAUGUUUAUUGCAAGUUAUCUCAAAUAAUACGGAGUAUUAACAAAGAGCAGAUGAGAUGAUUGAGUUCCAGAGAGCUUCAUAGACUUGUCCAACAACUGAAAUGCUUUUCAAAGCUUUCCAGGUCAAAUGGUUGUCAGGACUCUACUCACUCUCUGGUCUUCAGGACUCAGCUCAGACAUCAGCAUUUCCGUAUUGUAUGUGCUCCAUUCCCAACUCCGGUUGACAAAAUACUCCAGCAUGGACACUGUUCUUAGCAGCCGAUUCAUGAGCUUUGUCAUCCUGAGGUAAAAAUCAGGUAGAAGCAAAAAUCAGCACACCACAGAUGGCUGCUUCCAUGCUACUCUAUAGGAUGUAGGACACAUUAUUUUUUGAGAAAAGAGGAAGAAUUUCCCUCUUGCCCCCAUUUCUUCAUUAAAACAGAUUCUUUUUUUCUCUUUCCACAUUAUCUCCGUUGAAUAAAGGAAGGGGAUGAAACUAA